GAUGAACGCUAGCGGCAGGCUUAACACAUGCAAGUCGAGGGGUAGUCAUCUUCGGAUGAUGAGACCGGCGCACGGGUGCGUAACGCGUAUGCAAUCUACCUUUUACAGAGGGAUAGCCCAGAGAAAUUUGGAUUAAUACCUCAUAGUAUAACGACUCGGCAUCGAGAUGUUAUUAAAGUUCCAACGGUAAAAGAUGAGCAUGCGUCCCAUUAGCUAGUUGGUGUGGUAACGGCACACCAAGGCAACGAUGGGUAGGGGUCCUGAGAGGGAGAUCCCCCACACUGGUACUGAGACACGGACCAGACUCCUACGGGAGGCAGCAGUGAGGAAUAUUGGUCAAUGGGCGCAAGCCUGAACCAGCCACGCCGCGUGCAGGAUGACGGUCCUAUGGAUUGUAAACUGCUUUUGUACAGGAAGAAACACUCCCUCGUGAGGGAGCUUGACGGUACUGUAAGAAUAAGGAUCGGCUAACUCGUGNCAGCAGCCGCGGUAAUACGGAUGAUCCAAGCGUUAUCCNGAAUCAUUGGGUUUAAAGGGUCCGUANGCGGGUUUAUAANUCAGUGGUGAAAGCCCAUCGCUCAACGAUGGAACGGNCAUUGAUACUGUANAUCUUGAAUUAUUAGGNAGUAACUANAAUAUGUAGUGUAGCGNUGAAAUGCUUANAGAUUACAUGGAAUACCAAUUGCGAAGGGGGNUACUACUAAUGNAUUGACGCUGAUGGUCNAAANCGUGNGUAGCGNACANGAUUANAUACCCUGGUAGUCCACNCCGUAACNAUGGAUACUACCUGUUCNGAGAANCUGAGUGGNUAACNAANUGAUAAGUAUCCNCCNGGGGAGNACGUUCGCNAGANGAA
rnacentral:rRNA from 1 species